rnacentral:lncRNA from 1 species
AUGGAGAUUUGUACUGUUGAUUAUGAUGUUUGAAUGGAUAUUACUGUUGCUGAAUGCGUAGUCUAAUUAGGGUGAAUUAAUGUGUUAAUUACUUGGCAUUACAUGUUGUUCUAUAAUGCUUAUUAUAUUGAUUGAGGAACUCACCCUUACGCCUAUUUUUCAGGUAACGAGAAAUGAGUUGAGUAGAAGCUUAUGCUUGGAGUCUAGAGUAGUUCUUAUGGGUCAUGCUCUGAUAGAUGUAACAUCGGGAGGGAAUGUUUUAAUUAAUUUGAUAUUGGUUGUUG